rnacentral:rRNA from 1 species
UACGAAGGGGGCUAGCGUUGCUCGGAAUCACUGGGCGUAAAGCGCACGUAGGCGGACUCUUAAGUCAGGGGUGAAAUCCUGGAGCUCAACUCCAGAACUGCCUUUGAUACUGGGAGCCUUGAGUUCGGGAGAGGUGAGUGGAACUGCGGGUGUAGAGGUGAAAUUCGUAGAUAUUCGCAAGAACACCAGUGGCGAAGGCGGCUCACUGGCCCGAUACUGACGCUGAGGUGCGAAAGCGUGGGGAGCAAACAGG